UUCUGCUACUGUCUCCAUACUGCGCUGAGAGUCAUAUUAACUGCUGCUUGUAUUGAUAGCCCUAUUCCAGACGGACAUUAGUGAUACCUCUUUCUCAAAGUCCGCCAUUAGCUUCUACAGUUGAAUUACUACCUCUGUUGCCUGCAGCUCGCACUUUUACCACUGUUACUGCUCCUAAAAUGACCAUUUUCAGUUUCACUGUUGCAUUGGCACAGCUGCUUCUGUCACAGUAGUGGGCCUAUUGUUUUUACAACUACCAGCACUACUUGUGUCUGCAACUAACUCUAAUAGGACUGGUAUUAUUACACAUCUUUCCACAACUAUUAGUACUAGCCACCACAAGCACCACUAGCAGUACAGCUUCUGUCUUCUGAGUAUGCUAUCGACUAAACAAAAAUAUGCAAAAUGGGAGAUACAUCACUGGGCAAAGUGAUUGAGCAAAAAUAACAAAACAGCCCUGAAGUGUGUGCUUAUGUUAGGUGUGUGUGAGGGUGUGAACGUAAGGCUUUCCAUUCUUUGUAAUAAAAGAAAGGAAAACAAAGAGGGCUAACAGCACAACAUAGUCAAAUGCGUGCCUGUGGGGGGAAAGAGUGGCUGACAUUGCCUGGAUUUUACAGAUUGGAACCAUGGAGCCUACAAUGUGUGUUUCCAGUUGGCGCUGAUGACCCACCUGUACAACAGAGUGUGCAGGAUCUAGUAAAAUUGUGGUGUUGCAGCUGGAGUGCAUCGCUGCUGGUCCCCCUGCUGAACAAGUCCCUCUCUGUCCAGCAGGGAACAUUCCUCUGCCUGGUCUGGGAGACGCAUUGGCAUCCCCAGAAACUGCACCAUCCUCUUCCUCAUCAGGACUCUGUCUACAGCACCAUCAUCCCUGUCACCAACCUCAUCGGUGACUCCUACAAGGUCAAGAAAGAGAAAGGAGCACCCGACACCUGUACAGGAGGCAAUAUUGGAGAGAUUGAACAGACUGGACAGAGACAGAGAGGAAGAGAAUGAAGAGGCACUAUUUGGUCGGAUGGUAGCGGGGAUGCUGAUGAAGCUACCAGAACAAAAAAGGAUGGAUGCAAAAUUUUAAAUCCACCAUCAUGCUUUACCGCAUGCAAAAAGAAUGCUGCCAGGAGGAAGCAAACUAGACUUGUGGUCAGGGGUGUAGGACUGGGGGGUCAAAAGGGGACUGAGUAUGCAGGGCCCUCAUGUGAGGAGGGCCCACAAAAAUUCUAGAAUAAUACUAGAACCCCUGUUUGUGGUUCUAUACUGUGUGUUUUAUUGUUAAGACACAAGGCAUUGGCUGAAUUUAUUUCUUUUCCUUUUCAAAUCCAAGUUGUUUUUCAAUAUAGUGUGUAAAUAGGCCAAUAAUGAAAUCUCGCACACGAGGGCAGUGCUGAGCUGCUGAGGUCAGGUGAGGGGAAGUCUCAGGUUAAUGAAAUGAACAUUUAAUCAGGCUUCCAGGUUAUCCAGGUGGGGAAAGAUGCCGGCCUUGGUUAAGUUAGAUUCAGACCAGCAUGUGCUCUUUUGUGUGACAAAGUAGUUAUUCCAGCAGGGAAAAGAAAAGUGGAAGCUGCAUAUGAAAUAGGGUUUGCAUCAACGUUAGAUGACCUCAGAGACGCUGUAGGUACAUAUGAUUUCUUCCUUUGUAAACUGUCCGCGAUAGAGACUCACAUUUAUAGAACGUUUGAGGUGUACAUUCCUUGGCCUUUGGUUUUUGACGGCGCUGCAUUAAUUAUUUCACUUACUUAGCGUUUGGUGUGGUAACGUGUGGAUUAAGGGUGUCAUUAUAAGGUUUGAUAUGUGAUGGAACUGGUAUUAUAAUGGUGUUUAAUAGAUGUGAUAUUUGAUGGAGCUAGUUAAUGAUGUUAUGUUUCAUAAUGAUCAUUAUCAGUAUAAUAACUUGCAUGUAUGAAUUUCAGAAUAUUAGGGUCAGAAUUAUUAUUUCUUAGAGGUACUGAUAAUUUAUCUGAUUUAUUUGUAUGUGAUUAAUAAUAAUGACUAGUGGUAAAUGAUUGAUUUAUUUUGAUUUGUUUGGAAGUCACUAACGCUGAUAAAGUGAGACUAAGAGAAAAGUAAUCCAGCAUAAUAAUAAUGAUCUAAUAAUUUCUCUCUUUUUGUUGUUUUCCUAAAGGUUAACAACCUAAUGAACUCCAGAUAAACUGUCUUUGUAACUGCUGUGGACAUCGAAAAGACUAAUAAAUCCAAAAAAGGA